UACGUAGGGUGCGAGCGUUAAUCGGAAUUACUGGGCGUAAAGCGUGCGCAGGCGGUUUUGUAAGCCAGAUGUGAAAUCCCCGGGCUUAACCUGGGAAUGGCAUUUGGGACUGCAAGGCUGGAGUGUGGCAGAGGAGACUGGAAUUCCUGGUGUAGCGGUGAAAUGCGUAGAUAUCAGGAGGAACACCUGCGGUGUAGACAGCUUUCUGGACCACUUCUGACGCUGAGACACGAAAGCGUGGGUAGCAAACAGG
rnacentral:rRNA from 1 species